UACGGGGGGGGCAAGCGUUGUUCGGAAUUACUGGGCGUAAAGGGCUCGUAGGUGGCCAACUAAGUCAGACGUGAAAUCCCUCAGCUUAACUGGGGAACUGCGUCUGAUACUGGAUGGCUUGAGUUUGGGAGAGGGAUGCGGAAUUCCAGGUGUAGCGGUGAAAUGCGUAGAUAUCGGGAGGAACACCAAUGGCGAAGGCAGCUCGCUGGGACGGUACUGACGCUGAGACGCGAAAGCGUGGGGAGCAAACAGG
rnacentral:rRNA from 1 species